rnacentral:rRNA from 1 species
GAUGAACGCUGGCGGCGUGCUUAACACAUGCAAGUCGAACGAUGAAGCCCAGCUUGCUGGGUGGAUUAGUGGCGAACGGGUGAGUAACACGUGAGUAACCUGCCCUUAACUCUGGGAUAAGCCUGGGAAACUGGGUCUAAUACCGGAUAGGAGCGUCCACCGCAUGGUGGGUGUUGGAAAGAUUUAUCGGUUUUGGAUGGACUCGCGGCCUAUCAGCUUGUUGGUGAGGUAAUGGCUCACCAAGGCGACGACGGGUAGCCGGCCUGAGAGGGUGACCGGCCAUACUGGGACUGAGACACGGCCCAGACUCCUACGGGAGGCAGCAGUGGGGAAUAUUGCACAAUGGGCGAAAGCCUGAUGCAGCGACGCCGCGUGAGGGAUGACGGCCUUCGGGUUGUAAACCUCUUUCAGUAGGGAAGAAGCGAAAGUGACGGUACCUGCAGAAGAAGCACCGGCUAACUACGUG